rnacentral:rRNA from 1 species
UACACUCCUGCGGGAGGCAGCAGUGGGGAAUAUUGGACAAUGGGCGCAAGCCUGAUCCAGCCAUGCCGCGUGAGUGAUGAAGGCCCUAGGGUUGUAAAGCUCUUUCACCGGUGAAGAUAAUGACGGUAACCGGAGAAGAAGCCCCGGCUAACUUCGUGCCAGCAGCCGCGGUAAUACGAAGGGGGCUAGCGUUGUUCGGAUUUACUGGGCGUAAAGCGCACGUAGGCGGACUAUUAAGUCAGGGGUGAAAUCCCGGGGCUCAACCCCGGAACUGCCUUUGAUACUGGUAGUCUUGAGUUCGAGAGAGGUGAGUGGAAUUCCGAGUGUAGAGGUGAAAUUCGUAGAUAUUCGGAGGAACACCAGUGGCGAAGGCGGCUCACUGGCUCGAUACUGACGCUGAGGUGCGAAAGCGUGGGGGGCAAACAGGAUUAGAAACCCGUGUAGUCC